rnacentral:lncRNA from 1 species
AUUGUAAGACUACGAACGAGCACUAUAUAUGUAUGAGAUUGUUGUCACCACCCCAAGUAUGGCAGUCAGUCAUAUCAUGUUGGAGGCCUAUAAAAAGUAUAUCCUCACUGCUCUUAUUUUACAUGGAAAAGUACCCAAUGUCCCAAAAUACACAUCACCAGUUGUUGCUCGAUAUAUAAAAGU